rnacentral:ribozyme from 1 species
GCGGCAAAUACCAAUCACAUUCAAUUGGAUCUCUGUUGUUCAAGGAGUUGGGCCCGCUAGACAGACCAUUUCACAAAAAAGAUGUCCGAAGUAGUUGUGAAGAAGAAAA